UCAGAAGGUUGCUGGUUCGAUCCCCACAGUCACCACCAUUGUGUCCUUGAGUAAGACACUUAACUCCAGGUUGCUCCGGGGGAUUGUCCCUGUAAUAAGUGCUCUGUAUAAUACAUUGGUACUCAGAAGGUUGCUGGUUCGAUCCCCACAGUCACCACCAUUGUGUCCUUGAGUAAGACACUUAACUCCAGGUUGCUCCAGGGGGAUUGUCCCUGUAAUAAGUGCACUGUAAGUCGCUUUGGAUAAAAGCGUCUGCCAAAUGCAUAAAU